GUGGCUCAGAGGUUAAAGCGUCUGCCUCCAACGCGGGAAACCCGGGUUCAAAACCCGGC
rnacentral:tRNA from 1 species